rnacentral:rRNA from 1 species
AGUGAACGCUGGCGGUAGGCCUAACACAUGCAAGUCGAACGGCAGCACAGUAAGAGCUUGCUCUUACGGGUGGCGAGUGGCGGACGGGUGAGGAAUACAUCGGAACCUACUUUUUCGUGGGGGAUAACGUAGGGAAACUUACGCUAAUACCGCAUACGACCUACGGGUGAAAGCAGGGGAUCUUCGGACCUUGCGCGAUUGAAUGAGCCGAUGUCGGAUUAGCUAGUUGGCGGGGUAAAGGCCCACCAAGGCGACGAUCCGUAGCUGGUCUGAGAGGAUGAUCAGCUACACUGGAACUGAGACACGGUCCAGACUCCUACGGGAGGCAGCAGUGGGGAAUAUUGGACAAUGGGCGCAAGCCUGAUCCAGCCAUACCGCGUGGGUGAAGAAGGCCUUCGGGUUGUAAAGCCCUUUUGUUGGGAAAGAAAAGCAGCAGGUUAAUACCCCGCUGUUCUGACGGUACCCAAAGAAUAAGCACCGGCUAACUUCGUG